AACGUAGGGGACAAGCGUUAUCCGGAUUUACUGGGCGUAAAGCGCACGCAGGUGGCUGAGUCAGUCGAUUGUGAAAGCCCUGGGCUUAACCUGGGAAUUGCAGUCGAUACUACUCAGCUAGAGUAUGGGAGAGGGAAGUGGAAUUCCCGGUGUAGUGGUGAAAUGCGCAGAUAUCUGGAGGAACACCGGUGGCGAAGGCGGCAUCCUGGACCGGUAUUGACGCUGAGGAGCGAAAGCCAGGGGAGCAAACGGG
rnacentral:rRNA from 1 species